rnacentral:rRNA from 1 species
UAUACAUGCAAGGCGAGCCCAGGGACGUGUAACUUGCUUCUCAGAUGUUAGCGGCGGACGGGUGAGUAACACGUGGAUAACCUACCUAUAAGACUGGGAUAACUUCGGGAAACCGGAGCUAAUACCGGAUAAUAUUUUGAACCGCAUGGUUCAAAAGUGAAAGACGGUCUUGCUGUCACUUAUAGAUGGAUCCGCGCUGCAUUAGCUAGUUGGUAAGGUAACGGCUUACCAAGGCAACGAUGCAUAGCCGACCUGAGAGGGUGAUCGGCCACACUGGAACUGAGACACGGUCCANACUCCUACGGGAGGCAGCAGUAGGGAAUCUUCCGCAAUGGGCGAAAGCCUGACGGAGCAACGCCGCGUGAGUGAUGAAGGUCUUCGGAUCGUAAAACUCUGUUAUUAGGGAAGAACAUAUGUGUAAGUAACUGUGCACAUCUUGACGGUACCUAAUCAGAAAGCCACGGCUAACUACGUGCCAGCAGCCGCGGUAAUACGUAGGUGGCAAGCGUUAUCCGGAAUUAUUGGCGUAAAGCGCGCGUAGGCGGUUUUUAAGUCUGAU